rnacentral:rRNA from 1 species
CCCACGGGUCAAAGGAGCAAUUCGCUUGAGGAGGAGGUCGCGGCCCGAUUAGUUAGUUGGCGGGGUAAUGGCCCCACCAAGACGGUGAUCGGUAUCCGGCCUGAGAGGGCGCACGGACACACUGGAACUGAAACACGGUCCAGACUCCUACGGGAGGCAGCAGUGGGGAAUUUUGCGCAAUGGGGGAAACCCUGACGCAGCAACGCCGCGUGGAGGAUGAAGUCUCUUGGGACGUAAACUCCUUUCGAUCGGGACGAUUAUGACGGUACCGGAAGAAGAAGCCCCGGCUAACUUCGUG